UAAAGUUGAAGUGAGCUGCCCAGGUUCAUGCUCCAGUUUGUAGGCUUGGGCUCUGACCUGGAAGCCGAACUCUGCUGCAGGCACGGAGUCUCCAUGAAGAGCACACGGGGAGAGAAGAUGCUUCACAGGAGCCCUGGAUCUCCCUGGCACAUGGAGUACCCUGGAGGAGUGUAAGGGCAGCCAGGAAAGUUCUGAGAUUGCUACAGGACAAAAUCUUGUGCUUCUGAGCUCUUCAAUGAAGUUUUAAUCACCCCAAUAUACAUCUUUCCAUGACAUAUAUUUUUCUGUCCACCAAAGACAUAAUGGCUGCUCCUUUUAUGGGAAACCAGGAUUU